rnacentral:rRNA from 1 species
UACGAAGGGGGCUAGCGUUGUUCGGAAUUACUGGGCGUAAAGCGCACGUAGGCGGGUUUGUAAGUAGAGGGUGAAAUCCCAGGGCUCAACCCUGGAACUGCCUUCUAGACUGCAAGCCUGGAGGUCAGGAGAGGCGAGUGGAAUACCGAGUGUAGAGGUGAAAUUCGUAGAUAUUCGGUGGAACACCAGUGGCGAAGGCGACUCGCUGGACUGAUACUGACGCUGAGGUGUGAAAGCGUGGGGAGUAAACAGG